AUGACAAAUGAGUUGUAUCACCCAGUUGUCACCAGUGGCCACCAUCUAGAUAAAACUCCAUUUUGCCUUCAUGCCAGGCAAUCAAUCAGGCCGAAGCUUUGGUGCAGUGUAUUCUCCUAUAGCCUGUACCCAGGACACUGGAAUCAGCUGUACGGAUGUGUGUGUGUGAAGCUCGUGAGCAUUAGGCGUGGGGUCACCAGAAGAAAGGACCCUGAGCUAUGA
rnacentral:lncRNA from 1 species